rnacentral:lncRNA from 1 species
UACGUUAGCAGGGGGUCGGACGUGUAAAGUAUCCAUCGGUGGUUUAAGCGAGAGAAAUGUGUUUUUCGGUGCAAAAUGGCGGAAAACCGUUGACAUGUGUAAAGGAAAUUUUAAAUUUCAUCAAAGUCUUUUUUAAAUGAAAACAGCUAAGUCGAGAUCGUAUGAAAUCCCGGACGAUAUCUCUCCAAGUAGUAGCAGAAUAAGGAGUAGCGAAAGGGCCACAAAAGAUCCUAUUUCCAGUACAACGGUCAGAAACCACAAAUUCGAUGAGAGAAAGGCGAGAAAGGCAAAAGCACGGAACUGUGAGAAGUUUAUCCGAACAGCCGAGGGGAGUACAAUCCGUCCUUUACCACUAUAAAGUUGACGAAUCGAAAAUACUCCAAUCAGUGCGGUUAGGAAUUCCUGAGACAAGUCUAGAAGAUUUCUUCACCUGAACUGGCUGUCAGCCAAUUGAGUUUAUACGACGUAAUAAAAAUAAAUCACUACUAGGUUUCCAAAGACUUUCAAACACAUAAAAUGUACACUCUACAUCCGUAAAAUAUUAAAUAAAAGAUGAAUGAAUC